rnacentral:lncRNA from 1 species
CCGAUGAUUGUGGGGUGGUGCUCUGUGCGGCCCCAGCAAGUCCAAAGCAUGUUGCAACCCUUGUCCAGGAGCAGCCACUUCCUCAAAACUCAGCUGUGGGUAUAUAGUCUGGAGGCUUCAUCAUGUUUAAAAAUUAUUUAAGCUUUGGACAUGAGUGUUUUUUCUUAGUCUUCCCCAUCUUCACUGCCAAGGCUCAAGUGUGACAUGUGCAGCGUGGCUGUAGGAGCCGGGUAGAGCACUGUACAGUGGGACAGAUUGAUGUCAGACCAUUAGGGGGACUGGGCUGUAAAGGCCUUCUCAUAACUGUGCCCUGUCUCUCUGGCUCUUCCAGUAUCCACCCCUGCUAAUUCCUCCCUGGGGAGAAGUCGAUGCUAUGGAUGCUUUUGAUAUUGGCUCAUUUGAUGAAGAGGAUACUAAAGGCAUUAAGAUUAUACCCUGGGCAAGGACUACAUCAUGCACGGGCACAUGCUGAAGCUGGGCAACCCCUUCCUUACGCAGUGCAGCACCACUACUCCUACCUCUUCCCAAACAGGCUUGAGUGGAGAGGAGAAGGCGAGUCACGGGUGAGUCCCAGGGGGGUGCGCCCAGCGCUGCUUCCAGCAUGUUCCGUGACCUCAUGUUGCCAACAUGUUUUCCAAAGCAUCUCCCUAAGGCCUGUGUAUCUCAAUGUAUAUCACAAGAUUGCAGUAUUCAAACUUUCACUGUUAAACAUCCAGGUCCACAUCAGAGAAGGGCUAUGUAGUCUCUGAAAUAUUUCCUUCUUUUAGAGAGAACCAGUCAAAGUCCCUGAGUCUUCAGAUGGGUUGAGCAGUUGGUAGGUCACAGGAGAAAAGGACAGCUGGACAGUGGGGUCAGACAGGUUCACAUCCACAGCUUAGUGCCUCUGAGACGUGGAGCCCAUUCCAUUGCCCCUCAGAGCUUCAGUUUCCUCAUGUGGGAAAAAGAAGGAACAGAAAUCACAAGGACUACUAUAAUUUUUACAUGUUUAUCUGAGGCCAGAUGCUAUAAAAUACACACACACACAACCUUCAGUCUGUUUAGCAACCUUUGAAGGUCCAACUCUCGAUUAUUGAAGAGGACACCAAAGUUCAAAGAGGCAGAGUCUAGCACCCAGGGGCCAUAGCUGGACAGAUGUGGGUGCAGAGGGAUGGGAACCCAGGUCUGCCUAUGCACUUGGUCUCUCAAGUCCAGUCAGAUAGAAUGUCAUUUGCGAUACUUGACUCGGGGAGAUGAGGGCAUCAAACCGUAUCUCCCUUUGCACCUUGUUGGAAACUUAUGCAAACCCACCUAUGGGUGGGUCCUGUAGGAGGACAUAGCUGCCCUCUUGGGUUCCUUCUACAGCUCAUGCUGGUAAACAAGAUAGAAAAUUUUCUAAUCCAUGCUGUAUUUGCUAGCAACUCAAGCAGCAUUUAUUAAGUGGCUACUGUGUGUGGCGCCAGGACUGGUCCUCAUGCACAGAGCCAACCCUGGUGGAGGGCAGUUUGUCUACUCCUGGGGAGGACAGUGGUCUCCAGUGUCAGGCACAGAGUUUAUGUAUUAGUGAUGUGGAUACUGCCCAUCAUUUCUCUUGAAGUCAGAAGUAGAGAAAAUCAACCAAUGAAUGGAUAAAGAAGAUGUGGGCUUUUUUACCCAAUGGAGUUCUACUCUGUCAUAAAGAGGGAUAAGCUCUAGACAUAUUUAGCUAAAUGGAUGCACCUUGGGACCAUACUCUUAAGUAAAAUAAAUUGGACACACAUGUUUAAAUACCAUGUUGUUUCUGUGGUGUGAAACACCAAAAGUAUAAAUAAGGACCAAAAUGUAUAAUAGAUAUUGCAAAAUGUUCAAAUGAGAUGGGGAACAAGGGAGGGGGAAGGGGGAAAGGAAGGAAGGGACAAGAAAAAAAGAGAAGGAAAAAAAGGGAAACAGCUUUUGUAAAUAAGGAGGGGAGGAGAGGUUGAAGGGAAAGGAGGACAAUGGGAUAAAAAGAAGCAAGAAAUAUCAUUUCCAGGUACAAAUUCCCUAUGAUGGAUGUGAUCAUUGUAUCUAAAGUACACCAAUAAAAAAUUAAAUAAAUAAAACAAAAGUGGGAGCCCCAGACCUUGUGUGUUAGACUUGGGAUUGUUUUCUAAUCCUUCCUGGGGAAUUUGCCAUUUUGGUGCAAACGAUUGUGAUUGCAUAUUACCACAUUCCUUUAAAAAUUAACAAGAGGCCCGCGGAUUUAGCUCCGUGGUUCCAUUGCCUGCCUUACAGGUGCCAGGUCCCGAGUUCAAUCCCCGGUACCAAAAAAAAACAAACAAACCCAAGAUCGUCUCAAUAUUACUUGUGCCAUAAAUGUCAUUUCUUAAAAACUAAUAUAUCUAGGUCUAGAUCUGAAUUACAGUUAAUAAGACUUUUUGGGUCUCGGAGUUCUAACUCAGGGCUGGUAUGUAUUACAGUAGCUCCUCAAAGCUCAAUCUGUAUCCAGAUAACGAGUGGACCUGGGCAUAUUAUUCAUUCACUCACUGUGUUGUCUACUGGCAAGUCACUAUUGUGCAGGUGAAAGGGAAAUUGUCCCACUUUUCAGAAUAUUUGACAACUUUAAAAAAAGACUUACUUUAACAUCAGAUACAGAAACAUCUUGGUAUUUUUUUUGGGUACCAGGAUCGAACUCGGGACCUUGCGCUUGAGAGGCAGGCGCCAGAACCACUGAGCUAUAUCCCCGGCCCCAGAAACAUCUUGGGUUUUAAAAGAGUUAGCACUUAGUACAUAGGUUGGUUUGUUAAGAAUAAACAUGUAAAAAAGAAAACUUGAGAGUUUACGAUGGUAUUGUUUUUCAUUUAGGAUUCCUGGAGUAUUUAUCCAAAAAACCCCAUAAAAUGGUAAGGAACUCAUCACACUAUAGCAUGUUAUAGACCUAGUGUGACAAUCUUUGAAGGAUGUCACCUGUACUUAGAGCUUCAUUUUGAUAUUAUCAAAAUAUUCUUAGUUUACAAGCCAGCAUCACCAGGCAUUUUCUGAGUUGCUGGGUUCCAGCAGAGCUGCACCCUUUUGCUGGAGAGAAUCUCACGUAGUACGUCACUGUCCCCUCCUGACCUGAUGGAGAACAGUUAGAGAGCACAGGAAG